ensembl:lncRNA
GAACAGCUCAAAGAGAUUUACAAUGUAUAGUCAAACAAAAAAGAGCUAAAACACUUGAGUGAGCUGAUUUCACAACAUGCCUUUGAAAUAAAUAUGGUUUUAGCGAGUGUUUAGCAGUUAAGAACUGUGGCCUGUUGUCUUUUGGGAGGGAAUUACUUUCCAUUCUCUGUAAAUCCCACUGGGGAAAAAGCAACAACACCUCUGAAAUAAGAGGCAGUCACUCCAGGUUUCAUUCUUCCUCAGACAAGCCAGCAAUGACUUUGGAGAAGAAAAUUUGGGGCACAUACAAGUUGUAAAUGGUUUAUAAAAGGGCAAGUUACACUCUGCAGUCUGACGCUAUUGUUUUGGAAGAUCAGGAUCAUCGGGCAAAGCUCACGGAGACAAAGAAACUUCCACCAGACCUCCAUCCUUUAGUAAACCAGUGAGAUUGAGUUUCCCUGACUUUGCUCCACCCUGUUGAUAGGAGAGACAGAAGCUGAUUUUUAGUUACAGCUACAAGACUUUUUAUGGAUCGUGUUCUGUAUUCUCAUGAGCAAAGAAGUCAGAUAUCAAAUCAUGCACUUCAUUGAGACAAGUGAGAAUGCUAAUGGAUAACUUCGUCUGGGUAUUACAGAUCUCCUUGGCUGCUUCUGAGGAUAGACAGUGGCUUAUGUUGUUGGUUGCAGCACUGUACCCUACUGGAGAACAACUUGUCUGUACACAGACAUCUAAACCUUUGGGUUCAGAAGAGAGAAAAUGCAAGGCAUGACUCAGUGAGGAUUCUUCGCCAUGCCUCAUUACAAGAGCAGAGGGCAGAGUGAUCAGAGCCUCAGGGUGUAACGUGCGCCUGCCGUCUGCUGCCGCCGCUAUCGUCUUUGACUACACAGAGCUCACUGCCACUGCAGACGGUGACUGUGGUUAACUCUUCACGGUUACACACACAAAUAGCCUAAAGGAGCCAGAUCUGCACCUGCUCUUCUCUUUACCCUAGGCAAACACUUGCAGGAGGACAGGGGGUUAGAGAGUUCAGGAGAUACGGAUGAAUAGAAAGAGUAUCAAAGAGGAGGGGUGCUUGCUCUUCAUUCAGUACACCUGGUUAAAUGCACAAUGCAAUGAUAUGACUGACUGACUGACUAGUGAUUGAGUUCUAGUCUUUCUGCAGCUGUGGAAUGUAUGUGAAAAAGAACAAACGAAAAAACAACAAUGGCUUUUAAUAAGCUUUUUAAUAAUCAUAGAAUAUUAUAAGAUAUACAUUUUGUUGUAUUUUUUGUUAUCAUUUGUUUUGUUUACAAUGGGGUCCAAAAUUCUGACACCACACUGAAAAUCUCUGGGAGGAAAUCAGAGUGACAUGAGGGCGAGUAAAAGAUGACUUUGAUGAUUACAGGUGAACGAGUCCUUUUGAUUUAGUAAUAUAAUACUUAAGAGACAAUCCAGUAUAAUAGUCCAUAACACUGUUUAUGACCUGUUAAUGGAAAUAUUUAAUAAAAUGUGAUGAAAAUCAUCUCUCUGGCAAAGCAUAACAUUAGAUAUAAAACAAAUGAGAUUUCUCAAAGGAUAUUUUAGAUUUCCUCAGGUUGGAAUCCACUAAGCUCUUUUUGAUAUUACACAUGAAUACACACUCUGAAGGAGGGAGGAAGACAAGAAUACAAGAUACUUAUUGACUAGUGUUAAUUAAACGCAUGGCUAAGCAUAUACUUGGGUUGGGUGGCUUCUCAACCGACUGCUUACUAACUCCUCCGCUCCUUUUGAUUAUUUAAGAAGACAGUAAAUUUUACAAACCUUUGUUCAGCAGUAAUAAUUCAGAUUUCUUCAUUACAUUCUUACAAGUUCUUUUCCUCUGUCUGUUCAAACAGUAAUCACUCAUCUUAUAUUUAACUUAGGUGUUGGCUUUGCUCAGAUUUUAUUUGUUUUUACAGUCCAACAGGCCUCCAUACUGAGGAAUGUUAAAUGGUUUAUUGGUAUUUUCUACAUUACUGAAUUGAAGUAGAUAUGGAAAAACCAGUGUAAACACAGACAAAAACAUUUUUUUCUUUUUCUCUUCAUUCUCUCUCUCUAUAUAUAUAAAUAUUGUAAUGGUGGAGUCAUGACACCAGAGUUGUGUAUCCAAAUGCUAGCUUUAGUAAAAGAGCAUUGUCAAAUAGGCAGGGUAAAUCACCAGCAAACAAUAACAUCCAACAAUAAACCAAGAGAGUAAUCCAACAAACAGGCGGAAGGUCAGGACAGAUAGCAAACAAUAAAAACACAGAAACAGUCCAAGAUCAAAAAAUACUAAGGGAAGGAAACAAGGGACCACGUAAACUGGGAAAACAUUACAGAAUUACAAUCAUCAAUGAUGUGAGAGUGUGUGAGUGCCAUUCUUAUAGUGUGUGUCUGAUGAGGUGAUGUAAGGCAGGUGACUACAACUGGUGAUUGCUAAUGAGUCCGGGCAAAGGAUUAUG